rnacentral:misc_RNA from 1 species
AUGCGAUAAGUAAUGUGAAUUGCAGAAUUCAGUGAAUCAUCGAAUCUUUGAACGCACCUUGCGCUCCUUGGUAUUCCGAGGAGCAUGCCUGUUUGAGUGUCAUUAAAUUCUCAACUUCAUCAUUUUUUGUUGAAGCUUGGAUGUGGGGGUUGUGCAGAACACUUUGGUGGUCUGCUCCCCUUAAAUGAAUUAGCGAGUUCAAACUGAGCUCCGUCUAUUGGUGUGAUAAUUAUCUACGCUGUGGAUGGGACUUAGACUUGCUUCUAAACUGUCCGCAAGGACAAUUCUUGACAAUUUGACCUCAAAUCAGGUAGGACUACCCGCUGAACUUAA